UUGGUACAGCAGUUCCUUUCUUGUCGUGGGGUUCCAUUGAACCUUUCAGACCAAAGUCUGUGUAUGACUUGAGUAUUGGGGAAAGUGGAGUUACCCCUUAAUCACCGUUGCUCCCAGGUCCGCUCUGACCCAGAGUGGCAGCACCUGCCUGGGUUCCAGCUGUGGGUUAAAUAGUACAUCACCAAUAAGGUGCUGGCAGCAGGGUGCUUUUUGGUGCAAUGUGGCAGAUGAACCCAACAAGGUCAAUAGCAGACCACCAGAUGGCAUGCGGAAGAGCCACUCAAAUGGCCAGUGGAUGGCAUCACUCGGCAAGUCAGUGGUCACUGUGGGGCAACUUCAAUACCCGUCAGGUCUGUGGCACUUUUGUGCACCACUUGGUAUCAGGUCUGGAGGUCCAGAGACACAACAUGAUGGGGGCACGACAUCGUUUGUCUUAGCUUACCGUACAAGGCGCUUCUUUAGGAUAGGAGAAUAGUGUACGAGAGCUCACAAGGCCAGACAUUCCAUAGCGGCUCAGCCGGGCCAUUCAUGCUGCUGCUGCGGACGGCUCUGGUGCGGGCCUCGUGGUCCAUCUGCGUUUCUGUGCAUCCUAAUGAAGCAGUCAUCAUCGCUAGUAAUGGACAGCCGAUGCCGCCGCCGACAGACCAAAGUUUGUUUUCCCCUGGGAGUUAAUUUGUGCCUCCUUCCUGAAGGAUGUGGUGUCUGGAAGCUCCCAAGAGUUCGAUAUUUGCAUAUCAUAGUUUGUACAGAUACUCAUGGUACCUUCAGUUGUUUGGGAAGGAGGGACCAGACUUUUCGAGGUCCAUCAUUGUUUUUCUGAGGUCUUGGCCAAGUCACUUGGUUUUUCCUACAGUAUCAAGAGCCAAAAGGUGCCUGGCUCUAAAGGUAGGCUCUUACAUCCAGCCACGGGUGCACUCCCAAUGAACCCCUAAUCACAGCAAGGGGCAAAUCGGAAGCUUUUCAACAUUAAAUUACAUCCAUCUUUGCUUCAGAGAGACAGUGACCAUGGAGCAUUUAAACCUCUGACUCACUGGAAUUCUUAUAUAGUCAAUUAAACCUGAAAUGAACAAGUCUCUAAUUGACUGUGUUAAAAUGGCCUCGGACAUGAAAGGAGAUUUGACCCCAACUGACCGACCAAAAGAAACACUCGGUAACAUGAAACGUGGCGUUUUGAGAAAUUGGGACUGAAUAUCUUUAGCCUCCGUGUAAAUACUUGAUCUCAACUGUACAAUACAUCUGCAGUGCCCUCCACAAUUAUUGGCACCCCUUGUAAAGAUUCAGUGUGAGAUGUUAACAUAUUCAAAUGAGCAGAUUAAUAUAAACCAUUUUUAUUACUACUACUCUCAGAGCCAUGCUAUUACAGAAAAUUAAUCAACACUUCCAGAUUCGAGGAUUCGACACAUUAAAUGCUACACAAUAAUAACGUCAUUACAGGGGGACGAACGUACCUCUCCGUACUCCUCCAGCUCACCCUUCCCCUCCUCCAGGGUCACGUAAUCUCCGCUCUGUGUCAUAUGCAGAGACAGACGACCCUUCUUUGACCUCUUGUUGGGGUCUGCUACAGGGUCUUUGAAGACGUUUACCUGCAAAGAAAACACGAAGCAGAUUUUACUUGAUUAUACAUCAAAAUAUCUGAAUGCUGAUUAAGAGGUGGAGAUUUCUUCCUAUGCAAAUUUCUGCUCAGAAUGAUUUAGGUGGAUGUUUACGAGGGCUAUUCUUUUUUUUCCUCCCCUUUGUAAUAAGCUCUACGCUCCAACAAUCAGCCAUGCAGGCAUCCCGAGCUAAAAAUAAUCCAUUCAACUGCUUCAAAAGCUCGUUACAAGCCUAGAUGGGGCGGAGUCAAGGGACGGAGGGGAGCGUCUCUAAAAUGACUGACAAGAGCUCCAGCCAAACACAAACAAGGCUUCUGGACCUGAAAAUCGAGAGCGCAAGUUUCUUCCUGUAGACACUUGCAGGGGGACGUCAAAAGAUACGACUGCCUGUGUGACAUCACUUCCUGAUUGAAGACCUCUCAUCAGCAGGGAUAAAACUGAACUGAUCUACCCAAGAGCUGCACCUAUUCAUCACAAUCACCACCUUUACUGUCUGUACCCGGUUACUUCUUUACUUGCGGCGCUGCUCAGGCUCAUCACCUCCUGAAGCUCUCUCAUCUGACCCCUCUGAUGAGGUCACACCACCGGCUCUCUACUAAUGCAAGAAUCAAAAAUUGAAGCUCGUGUCGUCUUCAGACGUCACAUUCCACAGCAUUUACACACCCUGGCUCAGAUCCACACACCAUAAAGCAGAUACUAAGGAAUAACUACCACAACUGGAUCGCAGAAAAUAGCAGAACAGAACGGUGGAUUGAUAUCAGAGGAAACAUCUCGCAUGUUUAAAGCUGUAAUGGAUGACAGACUAGAAUUGGAUUUGGAAAAGAAAUUAAUUUUUGGAGCUGGAAAUGUUUACUUAUAAAGAGACUUUUUUCUUUUGUUAGGUGUGAGUUUUAUAUUUACUAUUGCAUACUAGAUACUAGAAAUCUCACCCCCAAUCCGUUCGUCACCACGUAGCUGCACUUGAAGGAGCAGUUAAGUAGAUCUCGGGUGAGUUUCUGCAGCAGCGCACCUCCUGAGCCAAACGUGAUGUUUUCGAUGCUCCACCUGUGCUCCUUCAUUCCCUCCACUAUCUACAGCAUCAUCAAAUACAAAACAAUGACCACCAGCUAACCCAAACACUGCUCACACUAGGUGUCCAGAAGCCUGAAGAAGAGGCCAUACCUCCUGCAGUGUAUUGAUGUCCACACCAUCACCCUGAAUGACCCGAAUGUAGGGAGGAAGCACCUUGUAGCCCUUAGAAUUCUCAACAGGAGGAAAUUUCUUGCCUAAAAUCUCCAAGACCUGUCGGAUAAGGCAGAUAAUAAUCAUCCGAGAUGCUUCACACACACACAAAUCAGAAAAAGUUGGGACGAGGACAAUUUAGGGCUAUUAAUGAGGUAAAACAAUUAAAUAAUAAUGUGAUUUAAAACAGGUAAUGUUUCAAAAUCGGUAUCCAGCAAAGGCCUAGUCUUUGAGGAGUAAAGAUGGGACGAGGAUCUCCAGUCUGUCAACAAAUGCGUAAGAGAAUUAUUGAAAUGUUCAAAAACAAUGUUCCUCAAAGAAAGAUAGGAAGGGAUUUGGAUAUUUCACCCUCUAUGAUGCAUAAUAUCAUUAAACAAUUCAAGGAAUCUGGAAGAACUUUGGUGCAUAAAGGGCAAAGGGCUCAAGCCUAAUCUGAACCCCUGUGAUCUCCGAUCCCUCACUGCAUCAAGAACCGUCAUUCAUCUACAGCUGACAGAACCUUAUGGGCUUGGGAUUACUUUGGAAAGCCUUUCUCAAGCUACAAUACAGAGUUACAUCCACAAACACCAGUUAAAACUUUAUUGUGCAAAAAGGAAGCCUUAUGUUAACUGCGUCCAGAAGCGCCUUCAACUUCUCUGGGCUCGGAGGCAUCUGGGAUGGACCACCACACAGUGUAAACAUGUAUCGUGGUCAGAUCAAUCAGUGUUCCAGGUCUUUUUAGGAAGAAAUGGAUGCCAUGUGCUCUGAAGACGAAAAGGACCAUCCAGACUGUUACCAGGAACAAGCCCAAAAGCCAGGGUGUGUCAGUGCCCUUGGCAAAUGUAACUUACACUUCUGUGAUUGUGCAUUAAUGCUGAAAAGUACACUGAGAUUCUGGAGUAACAUCUGCUGCCUUCAAAACAACAUCUUUUCCAGGGAGAUUUCAACAAGACAACGCAAAACCACAUUCUGCACAUUACAAAGGCGUGGCUGUGGAAGAAGAGGGCAUGUCCCCUCUGUCCCCAAUAGAGAAUGUGUGGGGAAUUUAGAAAUGAAAAAUAUGACCGUGAUGACCCUGUACUGUUGCAGAUCUUAAGACCUGUUUACAGGAAGAACGGGACAAAAUAACACCUGAACACACUUCAUUACUUGGUGUCUUCAGUCCCUAAGUGUUGUGAGAAAGAAUGGAAACAUUAUAAAAGUGAGAAAUACCUUUACUGUCACAACUUUUUUUAAAAAGGUGUUGAAACAAAACUGA